AUUUUCGACGUCCGGGCGGGUAUUUAAGCCGCUCAAAAACCCUUGUGCACCACUUGUCUCGUCUCGUCUACAACCAGACCAACAUGUACUCCAAGACGCUGUUCCUGGUCGUGCUGCUGGCCUCCGCCUGCGUGCUGCGCGCCGCCUCCGGGGAGCAGCAGCCGCCCGAGCAGGCCGUGGACGCCGCCCCCGCGCAGGAGGAGCCCGCCGCCGCCGAGGGCCGCGCGGAGGCGGCGCCGGAGGUGCCCGCGCCGCCGCCGCAGGACGACAACCAGGCGCCUGCCGUCUAGCCGCCCGCCUCCUCUCCCCUCCUCCACUCUCUCCUCCACACUUCCCCCAACCAUUCCCCCCGUUCCGCGUCGUGCAACUCGUCUUGAAUGAGACGUUGCCGCCGCGCGAUUUGGAAAACCGCCCGAGAUAUAUCACCAGGUGCCUGUUCGAAAAAAAAAAAAAAAUCAUUCAAGCAAGCUCUCUAGUUCCGUUUCCCGUAAAAAUGUCCAAAACGCGUUCGGAGUAAGUUUUUAGGACAUGAAACACCUGGUGAAGAUUCUUUGAAAAUCACUCUUAAGAGAUUCGCAAUACAACUUUAUCUUCAUUUCUAUAACUUUUGCCGCUCUAAUCUCAUAGUUUCCCUAUUCACGAUUGCGCGCCAGUGUCCAGAGGCGACACCGUGCUGGAAGCACCUGGGAGCUUCGCACUUAUUGUCAUCACGCGUCACUGACUCAAGACACGCACCACCCUGACUAGGGCGGGUCCCUUAAAAGUAGCACCAGUGUUGGCCAUUGUCGCUUGCAAAACAUCCCGUGAAGUCGGUCUACGAACGCUGUCCACCGAACAACCCGUGUGAAGAAGAAUAUAUGUGGACCACCAGUACUGCUGUCGGAUUCGAGGCGAUGUUACACAACGCAGACUACACACCAGCAACCUUCCGAGACGGCAACAACACAGGGUCGAGAGAUUCCACACCUUGCAACACGCAAGAUUACACGCAUGUCAUAACACUGUAGCUCUAUCUGUGUUUCGUAACUGAUGCAUGUCUACUGUCGGCAGACGAAUCACGAGAACCUUGUUUGGAAGCUAACGCCUUUCCUGAAUGGCCAGCCCAAGUAAGGCGAUGGUUUUCUUGCACAUGGCCAACAAUUUCAAGGAAUAAACCUCUAGCACGGGCAAAUUUCGCAAGAAAUAUCCUGCCUCUAUUUGCCAUGCAUCAGUGAGUAAUUGCUCCAAUGUUCAGUAAUGUAGCAUGUUACUCCGGUAACUUGCCAAACUUCCCAUGCAACAGUCAAUUGCACAGCUCGUCAAAUUUUUCGUUGUUCGACUUCAAUGUGACCCAUGUCACUGAGAUAACUAAUCAACGUUUCAAGUAAUUUCUCUAAGCAGCACACUUAAUUCGCACUGAAUCAACAAUCUAAGCCAUUCUUUCUUGAAGCGUAACUUGUUACGGUCCUGGUAACGCUCCGUGCCGUUCCAUGGGAAACUGUCAGCUUUUGAAAUCAAUACCUAAGUUGGUGAACCUUGCUAGGUGCUGAAUAUACAUUCUAAAUCGUCCCCUUAUACAAAACAUCACAUUGAAACUACCCAAUGCAAUCCCCUCAGGAAAAUAAUUUCGUCAGUAUUCCGCGUGUGGAUUUCUCAUGUUGUGUUUCGAUGGAUUUUGACGUAACUCUGGAAUGUCAUCCUCAACAAAUUUGAUUACUUAAACUUUAUUAAAACCAAUGUAAAAAAAUUUGUCUUGGAAAAGAUUAUGUCUCUUAUAAUGAACUUCUACACUCAAUAACAUUGUGUAUCACAUUUCUGUUUUGCUUUUUUUGUUAAUAAAAUUUUGUUGACUUUA